GCUCCUCCCAGCGCAGCUUCAGGGUUUCCAUUCUGUUCUUAAAUGUCUUCGGGGGUAGAAGCAGAGCAGUCAUGACGUGAGCACCCCAGCAGACCCCAGGAUCUCCUACCCCGCAGUCUCCUGCCGGUCCCCAGGAGCCGGAUGGACGGGGACUCUGACUGGUCAUCCACAGGGGGCAACUUCCUGGCCAAGACAUGGGAUGAACUCGUCACGCUGCUUCCUGGCACGUACCUAAUUCUGCUUGUCAUCAGAGAGCUUGGGGCCUCCAUGUCGCUGAGGAUGGCUGUGGUGCCUUCAGGACAGCACUGCUCUUUGUUGUGAGUGUGACUUCUCGGCUCCAGCGUAGAACCCUCAUCCCACCAACACAGCCCUUUCACCCUGCUGGCAUGGACUUUGUGGCUUCCACCGCUGACCCUUGGGUCUUCCCGGCACAGAUCUGUAAAAGAGACUGGCGUGAGUCCUUCUCGUGGGCUCUGGAUUUCCAUUUGGACUCGUGGCAGGCAUUGUCCUGAGCUCUGGGUUUUUAUCUGGACUCAUGUGGGACAUUGCUGUGGGAUUUAGGCUCUUGACUAAAUAAUCUAUGUCUUUGGUGUUGCGGAUAGAUUUCCUGCAUUUUCCUGUGUUAACUCCCGAUGACCAUUAUAAAAAUAAUAGUAUAAA